UGAGUAGCUGGGAUUAUAGGCACCCACCACCACACCCAGCUAAAUACUGUAUUUUUAGUAGAGACAGGAUUUCACCAUGUUGGCCAGGCUGGUUUCAAACUCCUGACCUCAGGUGAUCCACCUGCCUCGGCCUUCCAAAGUCCUGGGAUUGUAGGUGUGAGCCACCGCGCCUAGCCAGCACUAUCAUUAUUAUUCCAAUUUUGCAGAUGAGGUAACUAAGGCACAUGAAGGUCAAGCCCAAGUCACGCAACUGAUGAGUGACAAAACCAGGAUCUGAACCUGGCAGUCUGGCCCCAGAGCCCUCUCUGCCUGCUACCACCUGUCCAUCUGUGGUCAUGGAGCUGAGUCUAGUGAGAUUCCCACCAAGAACAACAACCUUUCCCUUGCCAAUAUCCUCAACUCUUUUGCAUAUAACAUCCUGAUUAGGCAACAUCAGCACGGAAGAAGCCCAGUGUCCACCUUCUUCCUGCCAACGCCUGCGCUGCUGAAUAUUAUUAAGAAAACACGAUGGUGGAGAUACAUUUUCAGCAUGAGACACACCCUUAGG
rnacentral:lncRNA from 1 species